GGGUGCUAGCUCAGUUGGCUAGUGCAGCCAAUCUCCCGCACGACAUUGAGGUCCUGGGAUCGAAUCCCAGUGAGCCCA
rnacentral:tRNA from 1 species